UGCUGGGAGGGUGCGCUUCUCGGCCCUCGCUCCCGCGCUCAAACAUCGUGAUUGUUGUACUGAUGUUAGUUCCUAGUGGAGAUCUGACUUGUGAUGUGAAAUGACGUUUGUGUGAGGAUGCCCGGAUGAUAUAAAGAUACAAACAAUACAAUUUAAGGACAUUGAACAGUUGAAGAAAAACACAACGUGCAUGACCAUCCUGCGUAAAUAGGUA